GGAGCUGUCUCCAGCCUAGACGAGUGAAGCUUCAGGGGCCUUGCUGGGGACAGGAAUGGGGCCAGAGGGUGGGAGAGCUGCACGCAGGGUUCAGGGACGUCAGGUCAUGGAUCCUGUUACUUCACUUUGAGAGGAGAGACCCUCGUUUGGAAAACAUCACAACACAGAUCAUUCAUUUACGUGCCAGAGAGAAGAAUCUGAGGGGAACUUAGGUAAAUCAGGCACGCACUCACAGCCGGUAAGUGGAAGAGCUGGGA